rnacentral:tRNA from 1 species
GAAACAUGACGAACAAAUAAAAGCUGCUAACUUUUUAUUUAAAUGGUUUAACUCCAUUUAUGUUUCU